AUCUUCUGUGUCUCCUGCAUUGGCAGGAGGGUUCUUUAUCAUUAAGCUACCUCCAGGAACUGAAGCAACUCAUCUGGAAGGCUCUUAUGAUUGGUUAUUUAGUUAGGGGAUUGGAGUUAUGUUCCCAGCUUGCCUCUUACAUGAUCCAAAGUGAAGGUAGACAUAAUGGUGGAAGCGUUUCUCCCAUAUUUACACAUGUGGUUUAACGGGUUUGUUGAUCCAAAAGCUAAUACUAUUCUUUAUCUGAUGGCUAUGGCUCAGGGUGGGCAAUAACACACUGAUCAUACCAUUAAUUCCAGAUUUUAGAUGAAAGAAAGAGAGAGAGAAUCCUAAAUGACAGAGAUUCAAAGGGAGAAGAUCUGGAAUUUGUGUGAGAUGAAUGAGACGGCUAUGCAUAGAGAAGUGUGAAACUUAUGGUGAAAAUAGGAGAAACAGACUUUUAAAGAAAUUUCUAAGACCUGGGCUUCACCAGAAGCCUAGAGAACUAAAGACACCUAUUCCAUCCUGAUCCAUAAAGGUGAGUAUAUUUAUUGCUUCCUGAGUCCACAUUUUUAUAAUCCUAUCAGUAAAAACUUCCCGAUAUAGAUAAUAAAGCAUAAUUUUAAAGUUAUGAA
rnacentral:lncRNA from 1 species